ensembl:lncRNA
GGGUGCCAGCCUACGGCUCGCCUCCCUCCCGCUGCGAAUGUUGGAGCGCACCCCAGAGGUGAGGCAGGUGAGGCAGAGUGACAUGCUGGAUGUGAAACAGAUUCUCAAGGGACUUGGCCUCUGUGAUACCAGAACAAGAUGUCAUUGGUGGCCACUCAUUUCACUUGAGCCACUUGUCAGCCAGAGAGCUGCCUGCUAGUCCCUAGUGUCCCCUUUCCCCAGCUGUCUAGGAAGGCCCAGGACAAGACCUCUUCCCCCUGUUCCCCUACCCACUGUGGACUUCCAGAGUGGUGGCUCCAGACAUUGCUGCUUUGGACUCGCCAUCAGGGCUUGAGAUGCACAGUACCAAAUGGCUCGUCUGUACCAGCUGCCUCCCAGUCCCUGUAGGCUGAUGGAAGGAGCCACCUUACAGUGGUGAAGAUGUCCAUACAGUUGAGGGCAGGAAACCAUCCUGGAGAAAGAGUUAUUCAGGCUGACCUGCUUGCGGGAGUGGACAAGGAGAACAUCUAGAGGCUAGGUGGGUGGAGAAAGAGCAACUGGCCCAAAUCCCCAGCAUGGCGGCAUGAGCCACCUGUGCAUCAGAGGACCCCACACCCCACUCAGCUUCUAAUGCCAUUCCAGGGUCCAACAAUAAGAAGCCCACAUGCCAGCAGAGCUUCAUCCCAGAGGCAGUCCUGCUGCCAUGCACUCACUUCCGAACUAAGACAUGCAAACCUGACUUCAGCCCCCAGGAGAUGGAGGUGCUGGUGCAAUGGGUGGCAUGCCCCUACCCACUGCUGUUUGGAACACUGUGGGGCACACCAGCACAGAAGCUUCAGGUGUGGAAGACGAUGCUUCAGGCUAUGAAUUCUGUGCUACUGCUUCUAUGACCUGAGUGACUUCAAGCACAAGUGGAGGGACCUUCAAGAAACUGGGCAAGAGCUCUGUCCCUGGCCUUGUCCUCACUCCUAUUGAGCAAUGGUAACUGAGGCCUUUUCAGCCUCUGUCCUUCCACACAAAGGCCAAGCAGGGUAGCCCCUGCCAGGUAAGUGGGCCCCACCACCCAUCGUGCCAGCAGAGAGCCUGCUGUGCUGGCCACUUCCCAUGUUUGGCCCCAAGUGUGAGACUCUGUGAGGAAGUGGGAGGCAAUUCUCUGAGAUGGGACACCCAGGAACCACUUCUUCUCAGCCUUAAAUCUUUAGUCCUGAUAUAGUGUAGCCAGGAGCCUCCAAGUCCUGGAGGCCCCUCAUGAAUUCACUGGUCCCACAGGGCUCACAUUUGCUCAGGUGAGGGAUGGCCCGUUUUCAACAAACUAGUGCAGUAGUAGUGGGAGAUGAGGAACGCUGAAAAUGCUAGGUACCUGUCCCCACGGAGGCUGUCUAGACAGGACACUGGAGAUGGCAGGGCCUAGCUGUCUGUCCUGAACAGCAUCUGCCCCAGACUAACCCCAGGAUUCCAGCUCAGCUUCUGCCACCUCAUGUCUAACAUGUUGUGGAGUUCGUAGUGUAGUAGUGUAACCACCUGCCUCGUGCCCUGGUGAGUGUGCUUGGCACACAGCACUCAGAGCACAGCUGUGAUUAGGUCACAGCUGAGAAAGGUGACUCCCUAUGCUGAGUGCCAGGCCAAGUAGCCAUGGAGUUUGAAGUUGCAAGAAGGCUUUUCUCCAGUCUCUCCUUCCCCCUCUUCCUGCAGGCUGAACCCAGACCUGGAGGGUGGGUGUCUGGGUGAAGCUGCCUCAGAGAGGUGGGCCACCUAGCGUCCCUCACUAUCCAUUCUGCUACAGGCAGCCCAUGGGCCAGUCCUUACUGGCCCAUGGAGUUGCGGUGGAGCCAGGAGAGAGCUCAGACCUCACAGCUCAUGCUUACACCUUCCUCAUGCAUGGGUCAGGUGGGAACUGGUGGCUACCCCUCUCCUAUAGGUUCUUCCUGGACUGAUUCAGGGCUCUCAGCUGUAAAGUGCUAUCCUCAACUGCCUUUCUUGGGCCUGCUCCGAGGACCCUUUGCUGACAGUUUGUGUUCUUGGCUGGGCCUUUUUAGGCCACAGUGCUCUGGUUUACACAUGACACUGGCUCAAGUGCCUGCUGCUGCUAUUUUUGCUGCCGUCUCUCCUCACCACACACCUCAAAGCCAAUACUGUUGGACAGCCUGUCCCAGGCAGCUGCUGGGAGGAAGUGGCGAUGAAGCCCCA